rnacentral:rRNA from 1 species
AGAGUUUGAUCCUGGCUCAGGACGAACGCUGGCGGCGCGCUAACACAUGCAAGUCGAACGGAGUUUUUUGAACUGAUUCUUUCGGGAUGAUUUUUAGAAAACUUAGUGGCGAACGGGUGAGUAACGCGUGGGUAACCUGCCCUGGAGUGGGGGACAACAGUUGGAAACGACUGCUAAUACCGCAUAAGCCCACAGUACCGCAUGGUACAGAGGGAAAAGGAGCAAUUCGCUUCAGGAUGGACCCGCGUCUGAUUAGCUAGUUGGUGGGGUAACGGCCUACCAAGGCGACGAUCAGUAGCCGGACUGAGAGGUUGAUCGGCCACAUUGGGACUGAGAUACGGCCCAGACUCCUACGGGAGGCAGCAGUGGGGAAUAUUGCACAAUGGGGGAAACCCUGAUGCAGCGACGCCGCGUGGAGGAAGAAGGUCUUCGGAUUGUAAACUCCUGUUGUCAAGGACGAUAAUGACGGUACUUGACAAGAAAGCCACGGCUAACUACGUGCCAGCAGCCGCGGUAAAACGUAGGUGGCAAGCGUUGUCCGGAAUUACUGGGUGUAAAGGGAGCGCAGGCGGACCGGCAAGUUGGAUGUGAAACCCACGGGCUCAACCUGUGGCCUGCAUCCAAAACUGUCGGUCUUGAGUAGUGCAGAGGUAGGCGGAAUUCCCGGUGUAGCGGUGGAAUGCGUAGAUAUCGGGAGGAACACCAGUGGCGAAGGCGGCCUACUGGGCACCAACUGACGCUGAGGCUCGAAAGUAUGGGUAGCAAACAGGAUUAGAUACCCUGGUAGUCCAUACCGUAAACGAUGUUUACUAGGUGUUGGAGGAUUGACCCCUUCAGUGCCGCAGUUAACACAAUAAGUAAUCCACCKGGG